rnacentral:miRNA from 1 species
UCUUACAUCCCUUGCAUGGUGGAGGGUGUACUUUCUGAAAACCCCUCCCACAUGCAGGGUUUGCAGGA